GAGGAUGCCCGUGUGCCUGAAGCCCGUUGCUGGCGUUGACGGCCCACGACGAGUCCAGAGCCGACAAGAGUUUGAUGUGCGAGCUGUACAAAGAACCGUGCAAAUGUUGCGUUAUUCAGAUCGCCGGCGGAAUGCACAAGGUGCACGAGUUCAACUGCAGUUGAUUCCGAGGUAUAAGUAAUGCGCAAUUUUCCCGCAGAGCUCGGUCAACAAGAUACAAGAUUGUUAUUAGUGGAUACCCUUUGACAUUCGACACGCUCGACACAGUGGUGUAAAGUCUUUCCUGCGCUCCCGGCUAUUCUUUUUGAAUAUUCGUAUCUAAAGCUAAGGCGCUGUAACUAAAGUAUUUUUUACAUCACUGUACUCGAGUGCCCUUACAACAUUAACAGUAUGCAUACGCGUGCGGUAUGUAUGUUGAAAUGGACCAUCGAGUUACCUGCUAUGACGACUGCCGUCCCAACACCAUUCAAGUUACGGAGGCACCACAAAAUCCCAUCAAAUCGCGAAGAUACCGAAACAGAGCCAAAAAAACAGUACGACAUUAGAUAGUGUAUCCAUGUUAGUAGGACGGACAUACACAAAUAUUCUGCUGUUUAACAUUCUCGAUCUUUACGCGCAUACAAGAUCCUAAGAAGUAAAUCGCACACUUUUGUCUCGCGUUUCUAUUCUACGUCAUUACAAGAUUGCGUCGUUUACAUUUCGAGUAUUUUAAAAAUAUAAUCGAUUGAUAAAAUAUAAUAUAUCUGCACACAAAAA